CCUACGGGUGGCAGCAGUGAGGAAUCUUGCCCAAUGGGGGAAACCCUGAGGCAGCAACGCCGCGUGAAGGAAGACGGUCUUCGGAUUGUAAACUUCUUUUCUUGGGGAAGAAGGGGGUUAUGCCCCUUGACGGUACCCAAGGAAUCAGACACGGCUAACUACGUGCCAGCAGCCGCGGUAAUACGUAGGUGUCGAGCGUUAUCCGGAAUUACUGGGCGUAAAGGGCACGCAGGCGGUUGGGUGGGUCCCGUGUGAAAGCUCCCGGCUUAACCGGGAGAGGUCGUGGGAAACUAGCCAACUUGAGAGAGUGAGAGGGAAGCGGAAUUCCCGGUGUAGUGGUGGAAUGCGUAGAUAUCGGGAAGAACACCAGUGGCGAAAGCGGCUUCCUGGCACCCUUCUGACGCUGAGGUGCGAAAGCGUGGGGAGCGAACGGGAUUAG
rnacentral:rRNA from 1 species